rnacentral:rRNA from 1 species
UACAGAGGGGGCUAGCGUUAUUCGGAAUUAUUGGGCGUAAAGGGCGCGUAGGCGGCCCGGUAAGUCAAAGGUGAAAUCCCUCGGCUCAACUGAGGAACUGCCUUUGAAACUGUCGGGCUUGAGGCCGGGAGGGGGUAGCGGAAUUCCCAGUGUAGCGGUGAAAUGCGUAGAUAUUGGGAGGAACACCGGUGGCGAAGGCGGCUACCUGGACCGGUUCUGACGCUGAUGCGCGAAAGCGUGGGGAGCAAACAGG